AACGCGAAGAACCUUACCAAGUCUUGACAUCCUUCUGACCGGUACUUAACCGUACCUUCUCUUCGGAGCAGGAGUGACAGGUGCUGCAUGGCUGUCGUCAGCUCGUGUCGUGAGAUGUUGGGUUAAGUCCCGCAACGAGCGCAACCCUUAUCUUUAGUAGCCAGCAGUAAGAUGGGCACUCUAGAGAGACUGCCGGGGAUAACCCGGAGGAAGGUGGGGAUGACGUCAAAUCAUCAUGCCCCUUAUGACCAGGGCUACACACGUGCUACAAUGGCGUAAACAAAGGGAAGCAAAGCUGUGAAGCCGAGCAAAUCUCAAAAAUAACGUCUCAGUUCGGACUGUAGUCUGCAACCCGACUACACGAAGCUGGAAUCGCUAGUAAUCGCAGAUCAGAAUGCUGCGGUGAAUACGUUCCCGGGUCUUGUACACACCG
rnacentral:rRNA from 1 species